CAAUAGCGUAUAUUAAAGUUGUUGCAGUUAAAACGCUCGUAGUCGGAUUUCGGGGCGGGCCGACCGGUCUGCCGAUGGGUAUGCACUGGCCGGCGCGUCCUUCCUUCCGGAGACCGCGCCUACUCUUAGCUGAGCGGGCGCGGGAGACGGAUCGUUUACUUUGAAAAAAUCAGAGUGUUUCAAGCAGGCAGCUCGCUCUUGCAUGGAUUAGCAUGGGAUAAUGAAAUAGGACUUUGGUGCUAUUUUGUUGGUUUCGAACACCGAAGUAAUGAUUAACAGGGACAGUCAGGGGCACUCGUAUUCCGCCGAGAGAGGUGAAAUUCUCAGACCAGCGGAAGACAAACCACUGCGAAAGCAUUUGCCAGGGAUGUUUUCACUGA
rnacentral:rRNA from 1 species